GAUGAACGCUAGCGGCAGGCUUAACACAUGCAAGUCGAGGGGCAGCAUAAUGGAUAGCAAUAUCUAUGGUGGCGACCGGCGCACGGGUGCGUAACGCGUAUGCAACCUACCUUUAACAGGGGGAUAACACUGAGAAAUUGGUACUAAUACCCCAUAAUAUCAUAGAAGGCAUCUUUUAUGGUUGAAAAUUCCGAUGGUUAGAGAUGGGCAUGCGUUGUAUUAGCUAGUUGGUGGGGUAACGGCUCACCAAGGCGACGAUACAUAGGGGACUGAGAGGUUAACCCCCCACACUGGUACUGAGACACGGACCAGACUCCUACGGGAGGCAGCAGUGAGGAAUAUUGGUCAAUGGACGCAAGUCUGAACCAGCCAUGCCGCGUGCAGGAUGACGGCUC
rnacentral:rRNA from 1 species